rnacentral:lncRNA from 1 species
CCGACCACCACUCAUUUGUGCACGUCCCUUUUCACGCUUCAACUGGCUACUCACUGUUCAGACGUGAACGAUUUUCCCCAUAUGUUUAGGUAUUUUAUAGCCUUUUUUGGUUCUUCCUUCUGGGUUUUCAUUUCGGUCGUUUUUUUUGGGAAGUAUUCUUCUUCUGGGCUGGUCACUCAAAGAGGAACAUAGGUUAAAUACUUUUUUUUUUUUCAGGAUUAAUGAAACUGAAUUUAUGUUUUGUGAUCUUUUAGUAUUAGUCUGGAACCUCUUUGUUUAGUGUGAUCCAAAUUUUGUGGAUAGGUCGAAAUUUUUUCCUAGUUUUGGUUCUUUUUUAUUUUAAUAGAUUGUAAUUUUUUUUUUUUGCUUCGAAACCUUUGAUGAACUUUCCACUGCUAAAACAGGAUAAUGCUUUCAUUAUGUAUAAUAUAUUGAUCAGUUACUUAAGUAAAGAAAGUAAAGCUGCAGAUGGGUAUAAAACGUGUUGGUUCAUAUGCAAAUUGGGGGUUUCGAGCCGAACUCUGGUACCUAUAUGAUCGUUGUUGAUGGCUUCUACAAAAUUGGGGAUUUUGAGGAGGGUUUGAAGGUUUUGAAUGUGGUAUUAAAUAGUGAGGAUUUUCCUCAUGCCGAAACUUUUUUGUUCUUUGGAUAUUGGCUUCGUCAAGGGUGGAAAAAUGAAUGAUGUGUGCUUUUUUCAGAGGAAAUGGUGAAGAGGAAUAUUAUAUUAGAUUUAGACUCUGUGAGAAAUUCUGGUGAAAUCUUUUCAUGAUGAUUGUGAAACUGUUGCUAGGCUUUUGAUUGAUAUUACCUAUUCUGAUGAUGACUUUCUAGAUUAGAAGUUGUUCAUUUUUAAAUAAAGUUUAUAGAAUAAUUUUUAUGAUGCUCGUGACAAUGUAAUCCUUCAUGCCUAUUGAUUGUAACUCAUCACCCUAUCUUCAAAUCUCACGUGUCGCUUUAUUCGCUUGAUUCAUUCAUUCUGCAUUUCUUUGGUGAUUUUUGAUGGGGCAAACGAAUCGAAUCAAGUCGAUGCCAAAAUCUUCUCACUGAGAAAUAAUGUAUGAGGUCAGAGAAGGUCUAUAGUUUGCGGUGAUUGAUUGUAAAUUGGAGACUUCGAAACUUACUAUGCCCCCGUUUGGCCCCCAUUUUGUGGUAAUGAAAAUGGGUAGAAUAGUUUUUUUUUUGAAAAAUGAGUGGUUGAAAAAGAAAGAAAAUUUUUGGAUUUACAUGUAAUAUUAUUUUAUGGAAGAUUGUGUGGUCGAAAAUAGGAGAGAAAAAAUGAAAUGUAAUGGAAUGAAAAUUAAUGGGGGCCAAACGGAGACUAUAGUUAGCAUGGGAUUCUUAUCUUCUGCAUUGUGUCUGAUAUGAAGUCUAGCCCCAUAGCAAAUGCAUUCUCCUCAAAAAACCCUUAUGAUGAUGUUCUUUUGUCAAGCGGUGGCAGGGGGCUGGGAUUGGUGGGAACGAAGCUUGGAGUUCAGGACUACACUGGAAUUUUCUUCAGCUCACAGAGUAGGUCAUCCAGUCCAAUUCUCGAUAUUUCGGGCCUGGAUGAACGUGUCAGGUCGGGUGAUUUUUGGAGCUCCAAGCUUGAUCACUCCAAUAUUUUGGGUGGCUUUUGGGAUGAGGAUAUAGUUGUAUCAUACGAAUAGUUUUUCGCUAGAGGGAAAACGAGAAAAACCUCUUCUGAUAAACUAAGGCGAGUUUUUUUGCUGCACCAUUUUUGCCUUUUUUUGGUUUGCUAAAUAUGGAUUAUCACUAUUGUUGUUGUUGUUUGUAUAUUGAUUAAGAAUGUGAUUUUAACUUUCAUUAUUGUUGAUGUUUUCUUUGAUUUGCUAAGAAUUGCAUGGUCAGGAAUGAAAAAAAAUUAAUUAAUUUUUGUUGUUCAAUCGAAGCGACCAUUGUGCUUAUUCUUUAAUCCGUAGUGUUAAAAAAUUUAUAGCUAGAAAAUAUGCAUCAUCGUUGUGCAUAUUUAAUCAUUUCUGAGUUUUUAGUAAAUCAGUGAAUUAAAGUUUUUCUUCAAUUGAGAUUUUGAAUUUUUAUUUUUAUUAUUAUUAUUAUAUAUAUAUAUAUAUAUUUUUUUUUUUUUUUUUUUUUUUUUUUUUUUUUUUAUAUAGUUUUUUUGUUU